ensembl:lincRNA Gm5099 predicted gene 5099
AGAGGGCGUGGCUCGAGUCCAUAUGAACAGAGGGUGUUGGAAGCAGAGUUGGUUUGCCAGGACUUAACACUCUCAAACAUACAUUCAGUUUCAGAAGGGGACAUUUUGCAUACAAUGAGUUGGGCAAGGAGACAGGAAAGCCGGGAUUAUUUCCAAAUUCCUACAUGGGGAAUUAUUUUCAAAGACUGAGCCAGAAGCGACAAAGAUCUGAUAUCAGAGCAUCCAAGAUCCAGGAAGGAGGAGGAAGGUGCCUUCUUCUGAAGAGCCUAAAUUCACACGACUGAAGAAAAAGACAAAUUUAUCAGAGCAACUGCAAUAUCAUACUGUGCCUGCACGGCCUCUGACCUGAGAGUCCAGGCCUCUCAUGAGUGUUGCAAACCAGCUGUUAUAGCUAGUUUUUCCGUUGCUAUGCUAAACAUAAAAAAGCAACUUGCAGAGGAACAGGUUUGUUUCCAGGGCUUACAUGGCGCCAUCACAGUUCACCAGGAAGGGAAGUCAGGCAGGAACUCAGAGCAUGAACCUGGAGGCAGGAACUGAGGCAGAGGGAACAGGGAGAAGUGUUGCUUACUGCUGGCUCUCCAUGGCCUGCUCAGCUUGCUUCCUUACACAGCUCAGGACUCCCUAAGCCCAGGGUAGCACCUCCCACAGCGGUCUAAGCCUUCCUACAUCCAUUAGCAACUGGGUGAGGGUCCCUCUUCCUAGAUGACUCCAGAUUUGUGUUAAGUUGGCAGCUGAAGCUAACUCUGACGCAGGCCUUGAGCCCUGUGGUGGUUCUGGCAGAAGCAUUAUGUGUAGGAAAGGCAAGUCCAUAUCCAGAAUAAAUACUCCGGUAAGAACAAAACGCUGUCCCUUUCAUGAAAGAAUGAUCUAAUGUAGGUUGCUGGCUGAUCACCUCGAGGGAUGGUGCCAUAUCUGGGGCUCAGUGGUGGUCUCUGCUGUUGGCAGAUCUGGCAUUCAGUAGCAGCUGUAGCCAGAUCAGUCUUGGUGAGUGGAGUCCAUGUUAUUGAGCCCAGGAAUAACCCCCAUCUUGGCCACCAUGGCCAGUUAGUUCAUGUGCCCAUUGAGCAAUGACAGAGUUGACUGGAGAAAGACGUUGACUAUCCACAGAACAGGUCAUCUCAUCCACUUGAUUACUGAACUCCUUCUAGACUAAAGUCACCUUUUGAUGAGCAUUUACCUGGGACACAAAUAUCUUCAUAUCCUUUGCUCAUUUGGAGACAUCUAUCCACACACUUUUUCCCCCGAAGAAGAUUCUUCUGAUUUUCUUCUCACUGAUUUUUUUCCAAUCACAAUUUUCCCAAGUCCCUGACCAUCCAGCCAAUCCAUUCGCAAUGUUGGGUGUUAAUCAACUUUCAGAAUAUAUACAGGAAGGAGGUUCACUGGGUCAGAACUGUGCAAUUGAUCUCAGGUAACUGGAACCAUAGAAAGCAGAACUGGAAGAGAGAGGACUGUGGUACUGCUUAUCACAUCACGAUGGGGACAUAUAGCCUGCCCAAUGCCAAGAGUGAUCCCAACUGAAGCCUGGGAGAAUGGGGAAUGGCUAGUCACCCUGCAAAAGCCUUUGCUGAUCCAGAAUUCGGGUUCCUGUCUCCUCCAGCAUCAUGCCUGUCAGCAUCCUGUGAACGUGUAAUCCAGCCCUACUAAAUGUUUUCCUUUGUAAGAGU